GUCUUAUCAAGAAAAGGUGGAGGGACUAGGCCCUAUGAAACCUUGGCAACAGCCGCGAAACGGAACUGUGCCAAAUCCUACAGGUAACAUCCUGACAGAUAAGAA
rnacentral:ncRNA from 2 species